UUCAUAACUGAUUUCCAUUUCGGCUUAGCUAUGAGCUCACAUUUGCCAAUGACAGUGUUCCAGACAGUUUUAUCAUCCACUUGCUGACCUGGAAGAUGCAUCAUUGUCUAAGAUAUCUGCAAUGGAAAUGAUCACUAGGCAAUUUCAGCCUUGCAAACCUAACCACUGAGAAACCCUGGCACCAGUAGGUGCACGUGAAGUGUUUGCUGAAUUCAUGAGAGCUGCUGCAGUCCCGGAAGCUCUGAGAGUGUCCGGAGAGGGACAGGAAUCUUCUCUUUCGGCAGAAGUCACCUUUUCACUCCACUUGCGAAGGGCAUCACAUGGAAAGACAGCCCAGAGACAAGGUUUCACCAUAUUGUCCAGGCAGAUCCUGAACUCCUGGGCUAAAGCAGUCCCCUGCCUCAGCCACUCAAAAUGCUGGAAUUACAGAUGUGAGCCACUGUGCCUGAUCCCAAAAAGAACAAGAGCUGCUCUUAGCCAGAAAAGUGCCAGAUGGUACUGAGGAAUCAGACUCAUACUAUUCCAGAGCAAUGUCAUCUGCAGAAGAGAGCCAGUAGCUGAUUGACAGAGACGACGCCCUUGUUGUUUUUAUGGAAGUCAAGAUGUCCUGUGUCUAUCACUAGACCUGUUCUUCUAUAAUUGGCUUGGGUCUCAAGCUCUCUUUGGAACGUUAUUCUAGAAAUUUGGGGGAUGCGUGCAACUUUUCCCUUGCUUCUGAAAUGAUAACUCUGCAUUCAUUCUCCACCAUCAUUAAUCAUGCAUAGCUGUGCUCAUUGGGGCAAUGUUUUGAGAACCGAUGGAGGAACAAGAUCUUAUUAGCACUGCUUUCCAUGGUUUAUCACUUACGGCCAAUGUCACACAGGAUUUUCAACCAGGAUGGGAACGCCCAGCAGCUGGAAGCCCAGCUGCCAAUUCAUCAAUUUGAGAAGCAUGAGGCAAGGCCAGAUUUAAUUGCACAGUGAAAGGCAGUUCUACCCAGAAGCCACUGCAGGAGGCUGUGCUCUGCUAGGGAAGAGCCUACUCUACUGAUCCAGUCUGUUCAUUUUGCAGAAAAGCCCCUUGAGGCCCAGAGAGCAUCCUCAGGUUCCCAAAAGCAAACAAGGAGGUUGGGAAGAGGAAACCUGGAGGAAAUAAGCUAAAACCAAUCAAACACAGGCCUUGAAUCAGCUGGACAUGGAUGCAAAUCCAAGCUCUGACCCUCCCGAGCUAUGUGACCUUGAGCAAGCCACUAGAUCUUGACCUCUCUUGGUUUCCUGCUCCAUAAAAGGAUGAUAAUGUUGGCUACUCAGCAAUGUUUUCUAAUUAGGCUAAAAGGAAAUGAAUAUGAAAUAGAAAGUGGCCAAUACAUGGAAGCCCACGUUUCCUAUGUGGAGCCAACUGAAACAUCAUAUGCUGUUUGGCGUCUGCACACUGAAUGGCUGAACGUGAAUCAGCAAUGUUGUGCAACUUUCAGAAAAACCAAGGUGUGUCCAUGGGAGAACUAACAGGAAUGAAGAAUUUACCACCCCAAGAGAGGUUCUCAUUAUUUCCAAAUUAGCCAAAACUCACCAGCAUGUUCUGUUGACCUCUGGACAUCACAUAACAGUGUCAUAGGAGUUAUACGGGGCCCAGGAAAUGAAGGUGGGGGUGAAGUCGGAGGAAGAAAAGGUCACAAGGAAAGAGCCAAGGCUUUGAACGAGACUAAAAAGAGAAAGCACAGAAGAGAGACGAACACGAUUUUUGGUAUAAAAAAGGCAUUCAUGGUGAUGAAAUGGGCCCCAUCUCCAUUGAGGAAAAUAAGAGGAGGCGAGGAAGAUGAAGCCACAGCACAGAACAUGAAGUGGCAAAGCAAGGAAAAUUUUCCAGUGAAUGCCUAGAAGAUCAAUGGCCUGGCAGGGGGUUCACAAGGAUCAAGGGCCCCCUGUUCUCCAGUGGCAGAGCUUGUGCCCAAACUCAGCUUCCCGAGGACUGUGCCCCUUCCCUGCCUAUGCAGCACUGAAUCCAGCAUCUUGCAAGGUCUCCGGGUACAAACGUGAAUGUUCUCUGACAGCUUUGCCUACAGCUGGAACAUAUAACUGGAUGGCAGGUGCUAACAUUUCAUCUGAUCAUUCUUCACAACCAAGGCUGUUUUUGACUCUCAAUCUAAGAAGACAGGAAGGCAAUACCGCUUUCCCAGAGCACAGACAUGCGGUGUGUCUGCUCAAGUGCAGCUCUUCCUGGGAUGAUGACAGAGCAGAUACUAUGUGUCCCUUCUCGCCGAUCUUGGCGUCUAAUUCCCUCUUUCACAAAGCCUGUUCCUUCACCUUUAUCACACAUUCUGGUGGGGAUCUCCUUUUGCUCAUUACUCUAUUACUCCUCACUAGAGAGAAUGUAUUCAAAUGAGAGUCAAAGUGACUGCUAAACAACAUCUAUGUGAACUUGGAAUAAGAAUCCGUUUAAUUACCCAGCAUUCUUAGUUAAGCAGCUCCUGAUAACACAGCGUUGAAAAUCAUUUUCACAUAAAUAUAGGAAAGUAGCAAAUUCAAGUAAAGAAUGUAAAAGUACUCCAGUCCUACUUUCCAGCUUAAAUAAAAUCAGGGUAACCACUUAAGACAUACUGUGUUUGCCUGUGACCGUGGUCCCAUUGCCAGGAAAGGUUCCCUGAUUCUUCUGCUGACUUUUUGCACUGCAGUUGUUUUUCCACUCUGAAUUGUUGCCAGUACUAUUUUUCUUUCUUUUUUUUUUUUGAGACGGAGUUUCGCUCUUGUUACCCAGGCUGGAGUGCAAUGGCGCGAUCUCGGCUCACCGCAACCUCUGCCACCUGGGUUCAGGCAAUUCUCCUGCCUCAGCCUCCCUAGUAGCUGGGAUUACAGGCAUGUGCCACCAUGCCCAGCUAAUUUUUUUGUAUUUUUAGUAGAGACGGGGUUUCACCAUGUUGACCAGGAUGGUCUUGAUCUGUUGACCUUGUGAUCCACCCGCCUUGGCCUCCCAAAGUGCUGGGAUUACAGGCUUGAGCCACCGCGCCAGGCCCAGUAUUAUUUUUCAUGUGUAUAUUUUCAUUCCUCUUAAAUUACUUCAUAAGUGUAUGUUUGAUUUUCUUAGUGUAUAAGCAUCCCAGGGUCAAGAACUACAUCUUAUUUAUUUUGUAUCUCUCCACAGUAGACAUUAAAUAACUGAUUUUUAAAACUAUAUUAUUAUGGUUAGAAUAAAAAUAUCUUGUUUGAAAAAUGUCCAAACCCAAUGUCCAAGUAUUGGGAAAAAAUAAGUAAAACCAAUAAUUAUGUUUCUUUUUACCCAUUCAUUCCUACAGAUAAUUUAUGAUAUUUGUCAAAUACAGGCAUGAAUUAUUUUGUGGAUCUUGGUAUCUUUAGAGAGGCAACAAAGUCCACAUUUUUUAUUGUCUCUUUGUCUCAUUUCAGGAAUCAGUUUUUUGAAUUUUGAUGGAGGCUGCUAAUGCCUCCUCUGUAGCUAUUAUGAUGAGGGCUUCCAAAUAUACUGUCUUAUGUCGUUCUCACAUGGCUACAGGGAAAUACCCAAGACUGAGUAAUUUAUGAAGGAAAGGGGUUGAAUUCACUUACAAUUCUGUAUGGCGGGGAAGGCCUCAGGAAACUUACAAUCAUUGUGGAAGGUGAAGGGGAGGCAGGCACCUUCUUCAUAAGGCGGCAGGAGAAUGACUGCAGGAGGAACUAGCAACACUUAUAAAGCCAUCAGAUCUCAUGAGAACUCACUGUCAUGAGACCAGCAUGAGGGAAAUAGCUGCAUGAGUCAGUUACCUCCACGUGGUCUCUCCCUUGACUUGGGGAUUAUGGGGAUACAAUUUAAGAUGAGAUUUUGGGUGGGGACACAGCCAAAUCAUAUCACAUACUUACUCAUCCUACUGCAUUUUUAAUUAGGAACAGAUUCAAAUCAGAGAAAUGUAUUAGUGAGAACGGGAGGUAGUUAUUCCUCUCUUCUCAAGUUUGUGUGAGCAUAAAUAGGGGGAACCAUCCCUGAUCUUUGGGUAGUGUCCAUUAGCCUUUCAAGGUAUGCUUGAAACUCCCUCAGAUUUUACUUUGGCACGGAGGACAGGCUCACCAAAUGUUUUCACAUGGUAAUAUCGCUAAAUAAAACAGAAAGCCACCACUAAAUAAACACACAGCUUCAGAAAUAGAGCUUUACCACAAAGCACUUAGCCAGCAUGGAUUUUUAAAUGCAUGUUAUAGAUGUACUGAUGCAGUGAACCUAUUAAACCUUAAGAUGUUUAAAUUAGAUUUUGGAAUCAAAUAUUACUCGUCAGUAAUCCAAGGAUUUUUAUCCCCCCUCCAGAAGUUUGAUUUAAUGAAAAAAAAAUUCCAAACUUAUGUUUCUUUUAAAGUGAAAGCAAGUUUAUUAAGAAAGUAAAGGAAUGAAAGACUGAAUUAUUCAUGAGUUUUCUGGGAAGGGUUGGCAAUUUCCCCGGAACUGAGGGUUCCUACCCUUUUCAAACCAUAUAGGGUAACUUCCUGAUGUUGCCAUGGCAUUUGUAAACUGUCAUGGUGUGGUGGGAGUGUCUUUUAGCAUGCUAAUGCAUUAUAAUUAACAUAUAAUGAGCAGUGGGGAUAACCAGAGGUCACUUUUAUCGCCAUCUUGGUUUUAGUGGGUUUUGGCCAGUUUCUUUACUGCAACCUGCCAUAGUUAUUUUGAUUGCCUUUCUUGCAUCUAGUUUGGUGAACAAACUAGUUUUUGGUAUCUACACUAUCUUUAUGUUGAAACAUGGGCGUUUCAAGAUGAGAAAAGGCUGGGAGAGCAGGAAAGGGAGAAGGAGAAUGAGAAAGAUUGCAAAGAAAGGAAGGAAGAAAGGGAGAAAGGAAAGCCAAGAAUUGGAAGAAGGGGUUUGAGGAAUGCAAGAAUACAGAGGAGGAUGGAAGAGAAAGACUAGUCUGGGAAAGUUUCUCUAAACCUAUAGGAACUGGGCAAUUACAUCGAAAAUGUCUCAGAUGAAUAGCCCAGGAACUCUUUGUUAGAAAGAUGAGCACAGAUUGCCCGUGCUUUUGUGAGCAGAGGUCAUACUCCCUUUCUAAGCAGCCCCUAUGUGGAUUUUGUGGGCAUGGCCCUCCUCUGUAGAAGAUGCUGAUGCUACUCGAUAUGUUUCCCUUUGGUUCUUCUGCCAUAUUCUUGCAUGGCUUUCACUCCCCACAGCCAGCAUCAUUGAGUCUCCUUGUCUGAGGACCACAACUGUUCUUGGGCUAUAAUGACACCUUCAACUAGGCUUCCUCUCCACAUUCUGAAAGCUGGAAGUGCCCGGGAACAUACAUCCUCAUCUAAUUCCCCAUGGUUGUCCUUGAUGGGGGGUAGCUGAUGGAUACAGUGUUAUCAGUAUUCCAGCUCUCUUGUCCCUUCAUCUCUGAGGUGUGAUUGCUGUGUCUCUAUAGUGUCCUCUGCAGGACUGAGCUGCCUUCCCUGCCUUUCUCCACUUCCCUAUGCCUCUCCUGGUUUCCUAAACUCACUUGCUAAUAAACCUGAUGAAACCCCAUCUCAGGGAUCUGGGAUCUUGAUCUAAGACAACCUGAUUCACCUACAAGCCAAGAUUAUUCCAACAACCAUUGAGAUGUUUCCUUGGUCCUCAGAAGUGACCCAACAGUGUGGAGGAUUUACUCUAUGUGUAGGUCUACAUUUGUAAUUAUAGGCUACAUUCCCGAAAUACAGUCUCCCUCUGCCCAUACUUUUCCCUUCCAGCACUUGGCUUCUUCACCACUUGUGUCCUGGAAUAUGUGGGCAUCUGUCUUGAACCACAUCCUUGGAGACCUCUGCCCUCACAGUCUCCUUGCCCCUCCCAGACUCUGUGUGGUUGCCAGAGCUCGGCUCCUUCUGCAAGUCUAGCAGGCAUUUUUCUUCAGACCUGGGUGUGCUUGGGAGUUGGCUCAAUUUUAGCACCCAUCCCUUUAACCACUGUCUGCUGGCAUCACCUCUGCUGGAAUGGGUUGGAGCCCACAGGAGCGAAAGGCAGAUUUCUUCACUCACAGCCUGUGGUUUGAAUACACAUUUAUUACCCAACCCAAGACAGAAGUUAGAAUUGGAGUUGGGGGGAGUGGGCACUGAAGUAGCACCUGAGUUUUUAUAAUUUUGAAAGAGGCAGCUGAGGUUAUGUUUUCUAGCCCUUGUGAUUUCAUAACAGGAAUGCUCUGAAGUUCUUGUGGCUCACCAUCUUCAGUGAAUCAGUUCUCAGGAAUCUAGUUUAGAGGGGGUCAUUUUUAAUCCAAAAGUACUAUUGAAAGUAUGUCUGGAUCUACUCAUUUCUUCUUCCACUUAUAUAAAAAGAGAAUGGACAAUCACGCUCCUUUUCAAAGUUAGAAAAUGGGAGUGGUGAUGACAAUUUGUCCUUAAUAAGGUUGUUCUGUAUGAAUCCAAGCUGGGGAUAGCUCUCUGCUGGUGGGUUUAUGGAACAGACAGAUGCAUCCCAUCAGGAAGCCAAUUGGAAGCACAAUUUCCUCUAAAAAACCCUGCAGUAUCUAUUGAGCACCUACUGUAUGCUCAGUAAUGUAGGGACAGGUGAUAUUGGUGCCAGUGGCGAUAUCUUAUAGUGACUUUAUUUGCUCUCCAGGAAUUACAUUGCUUGUAAAAUAUGUUAAUUUUGACAUCUUUGACCAAGAAAUUUUAUUGCAAAUAGUGACAUAAGAAAUCAUUCCUGGAUAGAGAAAUCUGAGAAUUUUAUUUAAGUUGUUGCAUUCUUGAAAUAAGCUGUCCGGUUAUGUUGGAGAUUCCCAUGUCAGUGGUCAGCUGCCUCCUUCUUAUCCUAGUUGCAGAAAAAUUGCCAUGAGCCAUGACUUUGGAGGGAGCUGUUUCUUUUUUUGUUUUAAUUAAUUUGUCCAUAGGUUAUUGGGGUACAGGUGGUGUUUGAUCACAUGAGUCCAUCAUCUGAGCCCCAAAUCUCCUUAAGAUGAUAAGCAACUUCAACAAAGUCUCAGGAUACAAAAUCAAUGUGCAGAAAUCACAAGCAUUCCUAUACACCAAUAACAGACUAACAGAGAGCCAAAUCAAGAGUGAACUCCCAUUCACAACUGCUACAAAGAGAAUAAAAUACCUAGGAAUACAACUAACAAAGGAUGUGAAGGACCUCUUCAAGGAGAACUACAAACCACUGAUCAAGAAAAUAAGAUAACACAAACAAAUGGAAAAACAUUCCAUGCUCAUGGUUAGGAAGAAUCAUUAUCAUGAAAACGGCCAUACUGCCUAAAGUAAUUUAUAGAUUCAAUGCUAUCCCCAUCAAGCUACCUCUGAUAUUCUUCACAAAACUAGAAAAAAACCACCUUAAACUUCAUAUAGAACCAAAAAAGAGCCCAUAUAGCUAAGACAAUCCUAAGCAAAAAGGACAAAGCUAGAUGCAUCACACUACCUGAAUUCAAAUUAUACUACAAGUCUACAGUAAUCAAAACAGCAUGGUACUGGUACCAAAACAGAGAUAUAGAUUAAUGGAACAGAACAAAGCCCUCAGAAGUAAUGCCACACACCUACAACCAUCUGAUCUUUGACAAACCUGACAAAAACAGGCAAUGGGGAAAGGAUUCCCUGUUCAAUAAAUGGUGUUGGGGAAACUGGCUAGCCAUGUGCAGAAAGCUGAAACUGGACCCCUUGCUUACACCUUAUACAAAAACUAACUCCAGAUGGAUUAAAGAUUUAAAUGUAAGAGCUAACACCCCAAAAAUCUAGAAGAAAACCUAGGCAAUACCAUUCAGGACAUAGGUACAUGACUAUGUUCUUUAGUGGUGAUUUGUGAGAUUUUGGUGCAUCCUUCAACUGAGAAGUAUACACUGCACCCUAUUUGCAAUCUUUUAUCCAUUACCACCCUCCCACUCUUCCCCCAGGUCCCCAGAGUUCAUUGUGUUAUUCUUAUGCCUUUGCAUCCUUGUAGCUUAGCUCCCACAUAUCAAUGAGAACACAUAUCAGUGAAAACAUACAAUGUUUGGUUUUCCAUUCCUGAGUUACUUCAUUUAAAAUAAUAGUCUCCAAUCUCAUCCAGGUCUCUGAGAACGCCAUUAAUUCAUUCCUUUCCAUGGCUGUUAAUAGUCCAUCAUAUAUGUAUACCACAGCGUCUUUAUCCACUUGUUGA